CUUCAAUUUGAUCAACCCUUUUAUUUUUAAUUUCACUUUUUUUUGUAUCAAUUGGAUUAAUUUUUAAUUCUGAUUGAUUUGAUUUUCUCUCAUUUCUAAUUGUUGACACAUCCUGGUGGUGUUUAGUCACCAAGUGGAUGGACUAAUUGUCGAAACAAUUAAUUUUAUGCUCCAGAAAAUAUAACAAACUCUUUGGGUACAAAUCAUCAACAAUUUAACGUUUUAAAUUUACCUUUUCUUUUACAUCUCUUGUUAACAUGGAGGAGAUUCACUUACUUGUUGCUUUCUAAUGAAGAGAUUACAAUAAGCGUUUAAUUGAGUUACUCUUUGGGUUAAAUUGUCUUCUUCUCAAGAUUAAUACAGUUGAUCAACAAAAUUAUCAUUAUUUUGCUAUUUCUAUUGUAAAACUCAUUCAAGAUGGACAUCACCGGACAGAGCGUUUAUCAUUAUAAUGGUGAUGAUACAAUCUAAUGAAUAACUUAAUUAAGAAAGGACAAGAUUAAGAUGGUUGACCUUUGAUAUGAACACACAAAGAUGACCAUUAGCGAUUAGAUGAUAUAAUCUGACAAUGAUGAAGAUCAAAUUAAUGACCAAGAGCUUGAUGAUAUUAAUAUAAAGUGAAACAAUAUUGCCAACUGAUGAUAACAAUUAACAUUAUGAUUAUGAACUUCCUCUCAUUUGAUCUUAA